UAGAUGAGGAGAGAAAAUGAAAGGAAUGAGAAAUGAAUACGGAGAUUCACCAGCAGUUUUUGCCAGUAACAGAUUACAGGUCUUCUUGGAAAUCAAAUCGGCAGCUUGUGACAUAAGAAUAAUUUCUUUGUUACAUAAAAAAUAGCAGCUUAGGGGGAAAGAGAGAUGAAGAAAGCCAAAGGGAUACCCUGAAACCACUCAUCUUGUUUUUAUUCCAUGAGUAAAGGUUUCUCUUUAGAUUCUGAUGGUUGUGUCACCUGCAGGCCUACUGGUCAUGGUGGUUUUUCCUGAAUUCACUUAUCUGUCAUUUUUCUGAGAAUGACACCCAGGAGAAAACUUUCCAAACAGAACUUCUUUGUUAGGCCGUAACCUAAGAUAAAUGGUCAGCCAGACAAUAUUCAAGUUUUUUAUACCAUUUUUAAAAAUAUUUCAGAUGAAAUCACCAAGGUGUUAAAAUGUGAAAACGUAUCAAAAUUGACAUUAAAGGCUUCCACAAAUUGUGUUAAACCUGACUUAAUGGUUCACUUUUUUUAAAGUGCUUUAAAGCACCCAAAUGUUCAUAAUGUGGAGGAUUUAUCUGUAUAUUACAACGUCUCAUAGUGUGUUAACCCUCUUUUAUGGAAACAGGUGCAGUAUUACAACCUGAUGGUUUGACUUUUUCGAAAGGUUUAUCUUGACCUAAAUCAUGCUCUACUCACUCUAACUUAGAGAUACGUGAUCAAAAAUUCUUCAACAAAAAAGGCUUUUGAGGGAAUUAAUGGUCCUGAAAGUCCUUUUCUGAAAACAGAGGGUAAGACAAGGCGGCUCACAAAUCCUCUAAAAUGUCCAAACCGGUGAACUAGUUUAAUAUUUUUUAUACUAAAAUACACAGUGUUGCAAUGUAUAAAAUGUGUAAACAUUUCCAAACUAAAAAUUAUUUACCAUGCAGUCAUUAAUCUAACUGCAUGUUAGUAAAAUUAUUAGCACCACCAGUCAUGGUCUCACUUGCAGAUUUCUGUAAAGAACAAAUAUUCUCUAACAUGAUACUUUAUUUUUAUCUCUUGACUGAAUCUACAAUAAAAUCUGUUACGAGGUUCAAAUCCUGAAACAUUUUCAGGCUGUGCUCCUACUAUUAAAAGAUAUUUGCAUUUAGGCUUAAUGUAAAGCUUUACAGGAAGAACCAGCUAAUGUUGUCUUUCAGUUCUCCUAAUUUGUACUGGGAACUUACUUCACUUUGCUCGCAUCUGCGUCGUAGAAAUGUCGACGUCACCUCCUCAAGUGAUUCCAAGAAAGCCUUCUGGGGUCAAAGUACUGACUCCACUUCGAGAGCAACAUCGUCACAAUGGGCUGCCCAUCAUCACAGACGCUGAGAGAGAGAACGGCACGAGCGGGAAGUCAAGAAAAGAAAAGCUGAUGACUGCAGAAAGAGAAGUUGAAAUCUUGAAUCACUGUUUUGAUGACAUCGAGAGGUUCAUGGCUCGCUUGCAACAAACCGCGGAGGCCCGGAGCAUUCUCAACCAACGGACCAAAAGGAGUGCCAAGAAAAACACCAAACAUGACAAACAAGACUUGCUGAACAAGAAAGCGACCCCUCCGUCAGAGCAGGAAUUUGUGGACAUCUUUCAGAAAAUAAAGUACUCCUUCUGUUUAUUGGAUCGCUUGAAGUCAUCCAUCUCACAACCAGAUGCACCAGAUCUGCUCCACCACGUCUUUUUACCUCUGAACUUGAUGGUGAAGACCACCGAGGGGCCGACAUUAGCUGCAUCUGUGAAGAGUCCAUGUAUGACCAAAGGUGCUGUUUCUCUGCUCCAAGAGCACCUGACUGGAGAGGAAAAGGAGCUGUGGAAAUCACUGGGACCCAACUGGACCUCAGAAUCUUCGCAGCAGACCGUUUCUGCUCCUCCAUAUUCGCCCGUCUUCCUAGAUGGGUGGCAGCCUCAGGCUUACGACUCAGCUGGUCGGCUGCUGGAAGAUCCCAUCCAGUUGCAGCACAAAGAGGACGCUUUUAAUAUAAGCGUGCAGAAGCAAAGUCAACGAGAACAUGUCCAACCUGCACCCAAGAACUACGGAGAAGGGACCGAAAAAGCAAAUAAAAAUGGGAUCCCACCAAAUGGCGAGAGAAUGUAUCACUGUAAUUACGACUUUGUGGCCAGAAACAAUGAUGAACUCUCAGUACUACAUGGGGAAAAACUAGAGGUCCUUGAAUUAUCAUCGGACCGCUUUUGGAAGUGCCGGAAUAGUUAUGACGAGAUAGGACUUGUUCCAUGUAAUAUUCUGGAGCCUCUGUCUGCACUGAACAACACAGAGAAAAUCCAUCCGGUGCUUCGAACAGAGUCGAAGAAAACAGCUCUCACCCAUCGGUGUUUCUCGUACGUCCCGUCGAGCGGCGACGGGUUCAGGUCGACCGCGACCAGCCGAGCAGAGCGACAUCAGAGCAUGAAUCUGCCAUCCAACAUGACAAGAGAAGAUGGCGGCCGAGUCAUGUUUAUGAACAAUGAGCUUCUGCAGCGGCUGGCUAAAAAAAGGAACUCGCUUGAAGAGAUGGAGGUUUCCUCCACAGCUGGCACCUCCAUCCCCCUGAACUACGACUCCCAAAGAGCUGAGGUGAAGGCCUGGCUCUCUGCGAAGGGCUUCAGUCGGGGUGGAGACGCUGGGAGUUUUGAAUGGAGCCCAGCUCUUCUCCUUGAAGAAUGAGGAGCUCUGCAGUGUGUGUCCGCUGGAAGGAGAGCGCAUUUACCUGCAGGUGCUGGGACAAAAGUCCCUUCUCGAGGACGUGCGCAAAGUUUCUGAACUAGAGACGGUGGUGGAGAUGUGAAAUCUGAUGACUGACCUGGAUUGGUAAACAUCACGAUACAAGAGAAGAAAUCAAUAGUGACUUAAAGGGAUACGAGACCAAUCUGUUGUACA